rnacentral:rRNA from 1 species
CUUGUACACACCGCCCGUCACACCAUGGGAGUUGGUUUUACCUGAAGACGGUGCGCUAACCCGCAAGGGAGGCAGCCGGCCACGGUAGGGUCAGCGACUGGGGUGAAGUCGUAACAAGGUAGCCGUAGGGGAACCUGCGGCUGGAUCACCUCCUUU